UCCUACGGGGGGCAGCAGUGAGGAAUAUUGGUCAAUGGCCGGAAGGCUGAACCAGCCAAGCCGCGUGAAGGACGAAGGUGCCAAGCAUUGUAAACUUCUUUUGUCAAGGGACAAAAUCAGGCUCGAGAGCCUGACCGAGGGUACUUGAAGAAAAAGCAUCGGCUAACUCCGUGCCAGCAGCCGCGGUAAUACGUAGGGGGCGAGCGUUAUCCGGAUUUACUGGGUGUAAAGGGAGCGUAGACGGCGUCGCAAGUCUGAAGUGAAAGCCCGUGGCUCAACCGCGGAACCGCUUUGGAAACGGCGAG
rnacentral:rRNA from 1 species